rnacentral:lncRNA from 1 species
CUUUGGGGUGAGUCCAACACAUCUAUGCUGCAGCUGAUCAUAUUGUAGCCUGCUGAGAAGGACCUCUUGAUCUUCAGAGCACAUUUCCUGGCAGAAAAAAUAAGGCAAGCACAAGAGGACCUCAUUCCAGUCUGCUCUUGGCCAUGCAAUGGACUAUGCUCUAUGAAUUGGCAGAUUGGCUCCCUAUGGACAGCAAGAACAGAGGCAGAUGCUGCAGCCAUCACUCCAGGGUCCAGAAAUGUGUUGUAAACUGCACAGCUUAAAGGUCUCAUCCGUAUUUUCAUCUAUGGCUUGCUUCUCCAUUUCAUUCACAAAGAUGUUGGGAGAGAUGUAAACACCCGAGUAGACUAUGCACACCACAGUCCCCCUGCUCUACCAAGCUACUUUUCUUCUGGCGAAUGGCUCAACCCCAGCUCUUAUUGCUCAUUGCCAUUUUUCUCCUCCCUGUUUUCUACUGAGAACUCUUCUCCCUAAUCCUACUGAUGACAGGGGCCUGCAGACUUACAUUAUUUCCCUGGCCUGGGCUUUAUGACUGAAUCUCAAGAGUCCAGGAGCAGACUUCCUCCCAUGGGUAAAUAUGUAGGUCACAUUAAAGAAUGUAUUCUGCAAUUCUUCACCUCAAGAAAAUGCCAACAAAUCCCGGAGAAUGGAAUAUACCUUGGGCAUUAUUUCCAAGUCACGUUUAGGGUUCUUUCACAUUCCAUGCCCAGGGCUAACUCUUGGUCAUUUUCCUCUCUGCUUAGUUUCUGCCUCCCCUGGUCUGAGUAAGUUUCUGUCUGAAUUCUCUUCAUGCCUCAUCUUCUUCCCAAAAUGAAAGGAGGAUAGUUACUCACAAUUUUGCCAUUUUGAUACCUUGCUGAGAGCACUUUAUAAAUAUUACAAAAGAAAUCUAGAAGGAUUCCACAUCCCAUCCCAGAUCAUUAGGGACCAGCCCCUUCAGUGUACAGAAGAGUAAACAGACAACAGAGAGGGACAGUAACUUGUCCAAAGACACACAGCUAAUUGGUGGCAGUUCUGGAGGCCAGAUCCCCAACCCCCUAAAGCAAUGGUCAUUCAUUCCUGUGAAAGCCACCGAGGACAGAUGUUCUCCUACUUAGAAACAAUUGUUGAGGACAUUUGUCUGUUGACUUCCUGGAUAUUCUCAUCAGCUUCCAACGAAUUCAGACUUCUUACUGAGCUUAUGAAACCAGGAAGCACCAGCAGUCUUCGGAUCUCUUUCUCUGGAGGCCCAAAUUCCCCUAACUGAGCAGCUCAGGCUGCCGUGGCUCACCUGUCCAAAGUCAGAGAGUUUCCUGCCCAAGCCUGGGUUUUCCAGGACCGCAGUGGACAUGCUGGCUCCCCG